rnacentral:rRNA from 1 species
UACGUAGGGGGCAAGCGUUGUCCGGAAUUAUUGGGCGUAAAGAGCGUGUAGGCGGUCCGGUAAGUCGGCUGUGAAAGUCCAGGGCUCAACCCUGGGAUGCCGGUCGAUACUGCCGGACUAGAGUUCGGAAGAGGCGAGUGGAAUUCCCGGUGUAGCGGUGAAAUGCGCAGAUAUCGGGAGGAACACCUAUGGCGAAGGCAGCUCGCUGGGACGUUACUGACGCUGAGACGCGAAAGCGUGGGGAGCGAACAGG